rnacentral:lncRNA from 1 species
AUCUUUGCUUUAGGAGAACAUGGGCUAUCUUUUUCUUUUCUCUCUUUUUUUCAGGUGGGUAGUAGAUACCUCUAAUUCUACUGUCGGACACUUGUCCAUUUUUUCCGCUCAAGUGGGCAUCGUUGUACCCCUAAUUCUACUCCGGACACUUGUCCAUUUUUACCUCUCGUCUCACUCUUUUUCUUUCUUUUCUGAGGUUCCGGGCACUUACCCCUUUUUAUUUCCUCGCAUAUUUUUGCAUAACCCAUGCCUCUUCUGCAUUGAAUCUUUUUAGAGAGAGAAAAUAACAACAUUUGGGACAGUGAGUGAUAAUAUUUUUAGCAAUUUUAAUGAAUGGUGGUGGAUGGUGUAGUAGGUGUGUGCAAGUGAAUAUCUUAAUUUAACCACAUGAAAAGCUCCUAAGGGUCUACACAGCUCGAUCAAACUCAAUGUAAAUAUAGUAAAAGAUGUUAUAGCCAGUAUGGCUGUGGUAGGAAUUUUGUUAUGCUAGGAACUCAUCAUGUGAUUUGUAAGUUUCCAAAAUAAAUCUCC